rnacentral:rRNA from 1 species
GCACAAGCGGUGGAGCAUGUGGUUUAAUUCGAUGCAACGCGAAAACCUUACCUGCCCUUGACAUGUCAGGAAUCUUUCAGAGAUGAGAGAGUGCCUUCGGGAACCUGAACACAGGUGCUGCAUGGCUGUCGUCAGCUCGUGUCGUGAGAUGUUGGGUUAAGUCCCGCAACGAGCGCAACCCUUGUCUUUAGUUGCCAUCAUUCAGUUGGGCACUCUAAAGAGACUGCCGGUGUCAAACCGGAGGAAGGUGGGGAUGACGUCAAGUCCUCAUGGCCUUUAUGACCAGGGCUACACACGUACUACAAUGGCCGGUACAAAGGGCAGCCACUUAGCGAUAAGGAGCCAAUCCCGUAAAGCCGGUCUCAGUCCGGAUUGGAGUCUGCAACUCGACUCCAUGAAGUUGGAAUCGCUAGUAAUCGCAGAUCAGCACGCUGCGGUGAAUACGUUCCCGGGCCUU